CACCGCGGUUAUACGAGGGGCCCGAAUCGACACCCCACCGGCGUAAAGUGUGAUUAGAGAACCCAUAAACUAGAGCCAAACAUCCCCUAUGCUGUCAUACGCUAAUGGGGCCCACGAAGACCAACAACGAAAGUGGCUCUAUGCACCUUGAGCUCACGACAGCCAGGCCA
rnacentral:rRNA from 1 species